rnacentral:rRNA from 1 species
GUGCCUAAUACAUGCAAGUAGAACGCUGACUACUUUAGCUUACUAGAGUAGAAGGAGUUGCGAACGGGUGAGUAACGCGUAGGUAACCUGCCUACUAGCGGGGGAUAACUAUUGGAAACGAUAGCUAAUACCGCAUAACAGUGUUUAACACAUGUUAGAUGCUUGAAAGAUGCAAAUGCAUCACUAGUAGAUGGACCUGCGUUGUAUUAGCUAGUUGGUGGGGUAACGGCCUACCAAGGCGACGAUACAUAGCCGACCUGAGAGGGUGAUCGGCCACACUGGGACUGAGACACGGCCCAGACUCCUACGGGAGGCAGCAGUAGGGAAUCUUCGGCAAUGGGGGCAACCCUGACCGAGCAACGCCGCGUGAGUGAAGAAGGUUUUCGGAUCGUAAAGCUCUGUUGUAAGAGAAGAACGUGUGUGAGAGUGGAAAGUUCACACAGUGACGGUAACUUACCAGAAAGGGA